GUCCCCGUCGAUUAGUGGUUAGAUCAUCACGUUGUGGUUAAUUGAUUUGAUUGAAACUUAAACAACCGUGAAGACGCAGGCUCGACUCCUGCCAGGGACA